CAAUCAUCCAGAGCAGCCACAAAAGCGUGGACAUAAAAGUAAGCAAUAUGAGCGUCAUGUUGUCAAUCCUCUCUUCAUUCCUCCUGGUCAUGGUGGCUGGAGGCGGUCCGCAUACAAGUUUGGUAAGCGCCGAAGAAACGAUAGUCUCAAACUCGGGAGGGGUUACUGCAUACUGGCAGACUAUGCUGCCAAAUACUCCCAUGCCAUCAGCCAUACAAGACCUUCUCACCCCAACUGCUGGUAAUGAUGAUCAUAUCACAAAACUGGACAACAAUAGUAUUAGCACAACAGAAAAAGGAAUAGACGAGAAAUUUACCGGAGUGCCAUUUCAUAAAGCACAAAAAUUAAGGCCUCAUGCCAAGAAGUUUCAGCAUCUAGGUAAUGAAGAGACAACCGCAUUUCAACUUCAUUCCUCGAGCUCAACCACAAAAACAAGUGACAGUGAGUUUCCAUAUAUUUAUGGGCAAUCCGCCAAAACCGAUGACCAAAAAUUCCCAUAUAUCUAUGGCCCAGAAAUGAAAACCAAAGACCAAAAGUUUCCGUACAUCUAUGGUACAACAACCCAAAUUGAUGACCAAAAAUUUCCGUACAUAUACAACCUAGCAAAGAAAAUCGAUGACCAGAAGUUCCCAUAUAUCUCCUGCAACAAAAACCGAAGACCAUAAUUUUCCAUACAUCUAUGGCCCUGCCACAAAACCCGAAGACAUGAAGUUUCCUUAUAUCUAUGGCCCAUCUAUGAAAACCAACGACCAGAAAUUUCCUUACAUCUACGCCCCAUCCACAAAAACCGAUGACCAAAAUUUUCCAUAUAUCUUUGGCCCUGAUACUAAAACAAACGACCAGAAGUUUCCAUACAUCUAUGGCCCAACCACAAAACCAAACAACCAAAAGUCUCCAUACAUCUACGGGCCAACCACAGAUGACCAGAAAUUUCCAUACAUAUAUGGAUCCGCUACGAAAUCUGAUAGCCAGAAUUUUCCAUAUAUCUAUGGCCCAACCAUGAAAACCAGUGACCAAAAAUUUCCAUACAUCUAUGGCCCAGCCAUGAAAACUGAUGACCAUAAGUUUCCAUACAUCUAUGGUCCGGCCACGAAAACCAAUGAUCAAAAGUUUCCGUACAUCUACGGCCAAGACAUGACAACUGAGGACCACAAAUUUCCAUACAUCUACGACCAAGACACGAAAAAUGAUGACCAGAAGUUUCCGUAUAUCUACGGCCCACACACGAAAACUGAUGACCUGAAGUUUCCAUACAUCUACGCCCUAGCCACAAAAACCGGUGAGGUGAAGUUUCCCUACAUAUAUGGUCCAACCAUGGGAACAAAUGGCAAGAAUUAUAAGUUUCCAUAUAUAUACGGCCUAGAAAGGAAUGUCGACGACCAGAAGACCACAAGGAGCAAAGGUUUUCCAGGAAUUAGCACGAUGGGCGCGUCCAAUCUGCAAGAAAAGGUGAGCGAGGGAGACGUUCACAUCCAUGGAGACUUCACGUUCACGGAAGACAUCGUGAAACUAGGAUCUACAAUCAUCCCUUACAUCCUACCAUCAGCUACCUUAGGUGCUCCUUUGCUGCAGCGUGACAUCGCUGACUCCAUCCCCAUUUCCAUGAGGAACUUCAAUGGCAUCAUGAAAAUGUUCGCGUCAGUAUCUUACACCAUGGCAAACGACAUAUGGUCGACCCUGAACAUGUGUGAGAAUGUGCACCCUCUCAACGGCGAGAAGAAAACAUGUAUCGGCUCCGUGGAAUCAAUGGUCGAGUUUGUCUCAUCGAUGCUCGGGAGUACACGCGACCUACAAGCUUUCUCCUCAUCCCAAGUGCCCAAUGAAGGUGUGGUGACAAGGAGGAGGUACAAAGUAGUGGCGUCAUGAAGGCCCACUGAGUCGAGUGAGACUGCGACAUGCCACGGCAUGAACUUCCCAUAUGCGGUGUUUAUGUGCCAUGCCAUGAACCCUACCAGGGUAUAUGCGGUGACGCUGGAGAGCGAGCACGACGGUGGCGAAGCGCAGAAGAUGGAAGUGCUUGUCGUGUGUCACCUCGACACGUCAGGGUUUGACCCUAGUAAGAUGCCAAAGGGCACCAGGCCUGGGCAGGCCCCAGCUUGUCACUUUGUCGGCCAGCCUAACAAGGACGAAUAUUAACCGCCAUGACAUGGUAUGAUACUUAGUGUAGUAAUUUGAUAUGCUUAGUGUAAUGUGAUGAUAAAUGCUUAGUGUAGAAUUUGAUGAUACAUUUAGUGUAGUAAUGUGAUGAUAUAUGCUUAGUAUAGUAUUUGAUGAUAUGCUUACUAUAGUU